rfam:Bacillus halodurans C-125 DNA, complete genome.
AGGAAAAGGAACCACGCUAAGGGCGUGACAUCGUGUCACAACGCCUGGUACCUACAUCCUGUAGG